rnacentral:rRNA from 1 species
AGGUUGAGAACCACUGCUCUAAAGGGUCCAGAUUUCAUCUGAUUUUGGAAGUUAAGCAGGGCCAGCCUUGUUCAGUACUUGGAUGGGAGACCACCAAUGCAUACCAGCUUCUGUUAUUU